rnacentral:rRNA from 1 species
UUGGCAGGCCCGUCCAAGGACCACCGGCUUCGGCUGGUCAGCGCCUGCCAGAGGACCUAAAACUCUUGUGAUUAUUAUUGUCUGAGUACUAUAUAAUAGUUAAAACUUUCAACAACGGAUCUCUUGGUUCUGGCAUCGAUGAAGAACGCAGCGAAAUGCGAUAAGUAAUGUGAAUUGCAGAAUUCAGUGAAUCAUCGAAUCUUUGAACGCACAUUGCGCCCUCUGGUAUUCCGGGGGGCAUGCCUGUUCGAGCGUCAUUACAACCCUCAAGCUCAGCUUGGUAUUAGGCUUCACCCUUAGGGGCGGGCUUUAAAAUCAGUGGCGGUGCCAUUUGGCUUCAAGCGUAGUAAUUCUUCUCGCUUUGGAGAACCGGGUGUGUGUUUGCCAACAACCCUCAUAUUUUUUAAAGGUUGACCUCGGAUCAGGUAGGGAUACCCGCUGAACUUAAGCAUAUCAAUAAGCGGAGGAAAAGAAACCAACAGGGAUUGCCUCAGUAACGGCGAGUGAAGCGGCAACAGCUCAAAUUUGAAAUCUGGCCUUCUGGUCCGAGUUGUAAUUUGUAGAGGAUGUUUCGAACGUGGUCCGGUCUAAGUUUCUUGGAACAGAACGUCAUAGAGGGUGAGAAUCCCGUAUGCGACUGGGUGCCUAAGUUCAUGUGAAGCUCCUUCGACGAGUCGAGUUGUUUGGGAAUGCAGCUCAAAAUGGGUGGUAAAUUUCAUCUAAAGCUAAAUAUUGGCCAGAGACCGAUAGCGCACAAGUAGAGUGAUCGAAAGAUGAAAAGCACUUUGGAAAGAGGGUUAAACAGUACGUGAAAUUGUUGAAAGGGAAGCGCUUGCAACCAGACUUGCAUGCAGUUGAUCAUCCGAUGUUCUCACCGGUGCACUCGAUUGUAUUCAGGCCAGCAUCGGUUUUGGUGGUUAGAUAAAGGCCUUGGGAAUGUAGCUUCUUUCGGGGAGUGUUAUAGCCCUCGGUGCAAUGUAGCCUACCGGGACCGAGGACCGCGCUUCGGCUAGGAUGCUGGCGUAAUGGUUGUAAGCGAC